rnacentral:rRNA from 1 species
UGCGUAGGCGGACUAAUAAGUCAGUGGUGAAAUCUCUCGGCUCAACCGGGAAACUGCCAUUGAUACUGUUAGUCUUGAGUUCGGUUGAGGUAGGCGGAAUGUGUAAUGUAGCGGUGAAAUGCUUAGAUAUUACACAGAACACCAAUUGCGUAGGCAGCUUACUAAACCGACACUGACGCUGAGGCACGAAAGCGUGGGUAGCGAACAGGAUUAGAUACCCUGGUAGUCC